GACGAACGCUGGCGGCGUGCUUAACACAUGCAAGUGGAGCGACGAACCGGGGCUUGCCCCGGGGCAGAGCCGCGAACGGGUGAGUAACACGUGGGUAACCUACCCUGAUGACCGGGACAA
rnacentral:rRNA from 1 species